GAAAGCACAUCCCGGAAAGGCGGUAAGACUAUCUCCCAGUUGAACAGCGGAUGCCUGGGACUCGUUUCAUUGCUUUCAAAGUUCCUUUAAAAAAGAGUUUUGAAAAGAAUCUUGCUCCAGAAGAAUGUAUUUCCACC